rnacentral:rRNA from 1 species
GGAUGGGCCCGCGGCCUAUCAGCUUGUUGGUGAGGUAACGGCUCACCAAGGCGACGACGGGUAGCCGGCCUGAGAGGGCGACCGGCCACACUGGGACUGAGACACGGCCCAGACUCCUACGGGAGGCAGCAGUGGGGAAUAUUGCACAAUGGGCGAAAGCCUGAUGCAGCGACGCCGCGUGAGGGAUGACGGCCUUCGGGUUGUAAACCUCUUUCAGCAGGGAAGAAGCGCAAGUGACGGUACCUGCAGAAGAAGCGCCGGCUAACUACGUGCCAGCAGCCGCGGUAAUACGUAGGGCGCGAGCGUUGUCCGGAAUUAUUGGGCGUAAAGAGCUCGUAGGCGGCUUGUCGCGUCGGUUGUGAAAGCCCGGGGCUUAACCCCGGGUCUGCAGUCGAUACGGGCAGGCUAGAGUUCGGUAGGGGAGAUCGGAAUUCCUGGUGUAGCGGUGAAAUGCGCAGAUAUCAGGAGGAACACCGGUGGCGAAGGCGGAUCUCUGGGCCGAUACUGACGCUGAGGAGCGAAAGCGUGGGGAGCGAACAGGAUUAGAUACCCUGGUAGUCCACGCCGUAAACGGUGGGCACUAGGUGUGGGCGACAUUCCACGUCGUCCGUGCCGCAGCUAACGCAUUAAGUGCCCCGC